CUAAACAUAUAACCUUUCAAUAUGAUCUAGAAAAUUAUAAUAUGAUAAAUUAAGUUAUAUUAUAAGAACAAGUUCAAGUUUAAUACUUGACAAGAGUUCCUCAAAUCCUUAUCCACAUUUUUCUCUUUAACAGUUAAAACUUUGUUUAAUGAUUGUAGAUCUCCAAUCGUCCCUUCCUACACCUCUAGUUCAUUUUUCAAAAUAUCAUUUACUUUGCAAACAAAAUUAGAUAUGGAGAGAGGGGUGAUUGAAGAUCUACAAUCACUAAAUAAAGCUCUAACUAUUAAAGAACAAUAUGCAGAUAAAAAACUAAAGAAUUCUUGUCAAGAAUUGAAUGUGUACUUGUUUUCUAAUAUAACUUUAUCUAUCUUAUUAUAAUUUUCUAAUGCAAUCUAAAAAGUUAUAUAUUCGAUAAGAGAUUGGAAAAAUACUCAAACCACAUAAUAUAUAAUAAACUCAUAUUUUAAGCAAACAUUAACAACAACAUUCAUCAACAACAAACCAUAAACAACAUACAUGAUACAACAAAAAUAUCAAAUCAAAGAAUGUUUCAGAAUCUUACAUGUCCCAUGAUGGCAUCCACAAUGAAAUAAGGAUGAAGCUGAAGUUAGAAUUGCAAACUUGUGUCUAUUUUGAAUGGAUGUCAUUCUGGGUCUUUCACACAAGUUUGCAACGUUCACUUUAACUUUGUCCUCGUUAUUGAAAUAAGCAUCCCUACCUACAUAAUGAAACAAGCAGGAAGUUGAAACAUGAUGACACAUAAACAAUAAUAGAGAAACUAAUUUUGAAAUAUAAUUUAUAGUGAAGUCGAACCUGUAAAAUAACCAUUUGCUAAGAUUUGAUAAAAGAAAGGAAACCUUCGAAUAAGACGAGUUGGCGGGAGAAGAUUGGGGUUUCAAUAUAAGAGAGACAAGAUACAAAGAUGUUAGGGUUUAGUUUUGAGAGAGACGAGUGAAAGAGAUGUUAGAGUUUUGUUUUGAGAGAGACGACUGUAAUGAACUGAAAGAGAGAUAAUUUUUCUCAUAUAUAAACCAGUAACAUCUUUCAUCACGGUUGACAAUGAUAAGUAUGACGAAAUAAUUGAAACUUACACCACGGUUGAUUAUAAAAAUUAUGGUGAUAUACAAGGCCAAACACAUUAUGUCACAAUAAAUGGAAAAUUGUUGGUGCUGAGAUUUGAACCAUUUUACUCCAGAUACCUUUCACUACAGUUGAUACCUAUGACCGUUGUGAAAUGUCCUUUUGUAAAUACAAAAAAAAAGUGCUAAAAAAACUAUUACAAUGGUUAACAGGAAGACCGCUGUAAAAUUGGUGUUACGAAAGGUCUAUUUUGUAGUAGUGGUAAUUCUUUUUUAACACUUUCCCUCAAAUGUGAAUCCACAAUUCUCCUCAUUAAGUGGAAACUUUUUUAUCCACAUACACGUGUACCAUCGUUGACACUUUUCAAUGGGCUACCUCCUUCCCAGUAGGGAGUUUCAAUAUAAGUAAGUUGAUCCCUUUACUUGAACCAAAGGCUCAUGAUACCAUUGUUGGGGUUACAAAUCGAAGGGUGUCAACACGAGGGAGCAUUUUUACUCUGGGGAUUUUCUUUAAGAGUAACACACAUUUGUGAGAGACACACCACAUACUUACCCAAAACCUUAAGGUGAUAUGUGUGUGGAUUCUCUCACUUAUAAAUGCUCAAGUCUCCACAUUCAUAACCAACGUGGGACUUCCCUACACUACUUACACUUGUACACUAUUACUGAAAACACAUAUCACAAUGGUUGGAAAAUGGAUACCACCAUGCUGAACCAACCAUUGUGAGGUAAGAUGUGAUUGUAUGUACGAUGCUUUCCACCAUGGUCAUACGUAUGUGAUUAUAACCAAUGUAGCAUGGUACCUACCAUAACAAUUACUUUAAACAACCGUUGUGAUAUUCUAUAAUGCAUAAUAUUUAAUAAUGGUAUGUAUAAACAAUCGUUGUGAAAUAUACAACUGAGUUUAUUAUAAAUUAUGUGGAAUACUUAUUUCGCCAAUGCUCACUAAACAUAUAACUUUUCAAUCUGAUCUAGAACAUUAUAAUAUGACAAAUUAAGUUAUAUUAUAAGAACAAGUUCACGUUCAAUACUUGACAAGAGUUCCUCAAAUCCUUAUCCUUAUUUUUCUCUUUAAUGGUUAAAACUUUGUUUAAUGAUUGUAGAUCUUCAAUCGUCCCUUCCUACACCUCUAGUUCAUUUUACAAAAUAUCAUAUACUUUGCAAACAAAAUUAGAGGUGGAGAGAGAGGCGGCUGAAGAUUUACAGUGACUAAAUAAAGUUAUAAGGAUUAAAGAAUAAUAUGCAGAUAAAAAACAAAAGAAUUCUUGUCAACAAUUGAACGUGUAAUUGUUUUCUAAUAUAACUCUAUCUAUCAUACUAUAAUUUUCUAAUGCAAUCUGAGAAGUUAUAUAUUCGGUAAGGGUUUGUAAAAACACUCAAACCACGUAAUAUAUAAUAGACUCAUCUUUUAAGCAAACAUCAACAACAACAACAUUCAUCAAUAAGAAAUUAUAAACAACAUACAUGAUACAACAAACAUAUCAAAUCAUAGAAUGUUUCAAAAACUUACAUGUCCCAUAAUGGCAUCCACAGUGAAAUAAGAAUGAAGUUGAAGUUAGAACUGCAAACUUGUGUCUAUUUUGAAUGGAUGCCAUUAUGGAUCUUUCACCCAAGUUUGCAACAUUCACUUUAGCCUUGUCCUCGUUAUUGAAACAAGCAUCCCUACCUAUAUAAUGAAACAAGGAGAAAGUUGAAACAUGAUGAAACAUAAACAAUAAUAGAUAAACAAAUUUUGAAACAUAAAUUAUAGUAAAGACAAACGUGUAAAAUAAACAUUUGCUAAGAUUUGAUGAAAUAAAGGAAACCUUCGAAGAAGACGAGUUGGUGGGAUAAGAUUGAGGUUUCAAUAUAAGAGAGAUGAGAGACAAAGAUGUUAUGGUUUAGUUUUGAGAGAGACGGUGAAAGAGAUGUUAUGGUUUUGUUUUGAGAGAGACGACUGUCAAGAACUAGAAGAGAGAUAAUUUUGCUCAUAUAUAAAUAAGUAACAUCUUUCGUCAUGGUUGACAAUGAUAACCGUGAUGAAAUGAUUGAAACUUACACCACAAUUGAUUAUAAAAACCGUGGUGAUAUACAAGGCCAAACACAUUAUGCCACAAUAAAUGGAAAAUUGUUGGUGUUGAUAUUUGAAUCAUUUUACUCCAGAUACCUUUCACUAUGGUUGAUACCUAUGACUGUUGUGAAAUGUCCUUUCGUAAAUACAAAAAAAAACCUAAAAAAAACUAUUACAACGGUUAACAGGAAGACCGUUGUAAAAUUGGUGUUACGAAAGAUCUAUUUUGUAGUAGUGGUAAUUCUUUUUAACACUCUCCCUCAAGUGUGAGUCUAUCCACAAUUCUCCUCACCAAGUGGAAACUCUUUUAUCCACACACACUUGUACCACCGUUAACACUUUCCAACGGGUCACCUCCUGUCCAGUAGGGAGUUUCGAUACAAGUAAGUUGAUCCAUUCACUUGAACCAAAGGCUCAAGAUACCACUGUUGGGGCUAUAAAUCGAGGUGUGUCAACACGAUGGAGCAUUUUUACUAUGAAGAUUUUCUUUAAGGGCAACUCACCUUUGUGAGAGACACACCACAUACUCACCCAAAACAUUAAGUGAUAGGCGUGUGGAUUCUCCACAUAUUUCUAACAAUCCGGGACUUCCCCACACUACUUACACUUGUAAUUCUUUUUUCACAAUUAUGGAAAAUGCAUGAAUCAAAAGUCGAUUCCACAGACGUCGCCAUUCUUUCCUUUUGGAACCAGAAAUAGGGUGACGGUAAAUAUGAGCUUCCAUCAUGGUCGAGAUGGAAGAUCUGCAAGAUUAACACUCAAACACUCAAGUUUGUAUGUGAGUAAAAAAAAUGAAUUUAAAUUUUGUUUGAAACUUGUCACCUCAAUUUGCUGCUUUCUCUAUAUAUAGAGAGAAAAUAACGAAUUCGCUGUUUGUUAAGAGUGGAUUGUAGAGAGUCGUUAGGUGCAUUUGUAAUUGAGAUCAAUGUUAGCGUCAUAUGGAUAAUUCUGAAAUGUUAAAAAUAUUUUAGAAGAAUUACUAUUCCUUUAAGAUAAUUGACCGGUGUCGAUAUAACUUAUCCAUAACAUAUAUCACUUUCAUAAAUUUUAUAAUUUUAAAAUAAUAUAUAAAUAUAUAUUCAUGACAUAAAAUUAAAUAAAUUCACUGAUCAAGUAUUAAUCUAGUUUUUAGUAAUAAAAUAAAGUUGGUUAAUAAAAAUUAAAAAAUUAAUUAAUAAAAGGAUGAAGUUGAUUACAAAUAAUUUUUAACAUUAAAACAAAGUUGAUUAAUUAAAUAUAAAAUAUUAAUUAAUAAAAUUAUGGAAUUGAUAAUCUGAUAUCCUUAAUUUAAAAUAAAAUAAAAUAAAAUAAAAUAAAAAUUAUAUCAAAAAUAAAUAAAUUUAUUAUUAUAAUAUUUCUUUGUUCAUCAUUGAUGAACAGUAAAAUAAGAAUGUAGAUAUAACUUUAAUGUCAAAAUAGAUUUUUGUGAAUAUAUGUCCCCGAAUCAUUUCUUAAAUAUACGGUCGUUGACUCUGGAAGUAGGUUUGAAGAAAAAGUGGUAGCCUUAGGGUUUAGAAAGAAAGAAAAAUAAGUUACUAUUAGUAUCAGUGGUGGUGGUUUUCCCCGCAAGGCACGGGCCAAAUUUUCCUAGUCUCAAUUUUAUACGACUCUUAGAUUCCAAUAUCCUUUAUCAUUUGAUGUUCCCAAAUUUCCAACGGGGACUAUGGGGGACUUAGUCUUACCUCAGGCGCUGAGAAACACGCAUUGCUAUACCAAGCAUCUAACUAUAGUAUAAACUGUAAGAGCAUUCAUCCAUAGAUUAUAGUAUUAAGUAUUAAUAUGAUAUAAUCCACAUUUUUACCUUUUUCAUAUACCUACUCAAUAAAUUAUAUUAAGUAUUAAUGAUGAAAUCAAUUUAAUAUUUUUUUAGGUGGCUUGCUUAAUUAAGUGUUUAUAAGAGUAACUCCAUUUCUUUUUAUAAAAGGUAAAGACAAAUAUCGAACAAUUAAAAUAUUUAAUCUGAAAAAUAAUUUGUCUAUGUACUAGUGAUAAAUACAAUGAUGUAAAGCAAGAGAGUUUCAAGUGAAUCAUUUCCAAUAACUUGUGAGGGUUGAGAUAUUCAUAGCCAUGAUUUACGUCUUAAGUUGUGGGUUAAGAACCAAUUUCAAUCUCAAUUAUUUGGCUAAAAUGUGGAGAUAUGAAGACUUAAUUCUUCUUCAUUCAAGGAGGAGGGAUAAUUUUUUCCCUGAAGUGGUGAUAAUGACAAUUUUUACUCAUAUGGAUUGGUAUGACAAGUCUUCACGCAUCUUUAGCUUGAUCUAUUGGUAUUGAGUCAGGAAAAUCACACCAUAGGUAGGGGUGUAUGUAGAUUGAGUUUGAUCGGAUUUGCCCUAACCCAUUAUCCAACUCAUUCAAACUUUAAUGGGUUGGAUCCGUCGUCCAGCCCGCAAUUUCAUUGUCAAAACCAACCCGAACCGACCCGUUCAUUAAUGGAUUGGGUUGGGUUGGGUUGGGUUCGUGGGUUGUGUUUCAAAUAAAAAAUAUAUUUUUUAUGUUCCUUUUUGUCGGUUUUAUAAAAAUAUAACACAACUCAAUACAAUGAUACUCAAUUAUAACACUCAAAUUCAAUGAAACACAUUAUAUAAUAUCUAAUAAAAUUCAUCAAUACGACGUAACACUUUUAAUAGUAUAAAAUUUAACAAGAUACAUUAUUUCCAUAAAAUACAUAAGUUGACAAUGAUACAAAAAAAAAAUAAGAAACAUUUAAUCUUAGAAUUAGGUAAACUAAUUGGUCAAGUAGUAUUGUUGGUGGAGAAUAAAUUUUUUUGAUUUUUUUUUUGUUAUUAGUUAGAUAUUAAUUUGUUAUUUCUAUUUAAAAUAAUAAGAAAAUAUUAAAGACACAUCAACGGGUUGGGUCAACGAGUCUGCGGGUUUCAAAACUCAAACCUGAUACCUGAAUCAAAACUAUACGAGUUGUUAUGGGUUGGGUUGAAUAUACCCGUAAAUGAAUGAGUUCGGGUAAUUUAUGGGUUAGUUGGAUUGGGUCAGCGGGUUUGUGGGUCGACCCGUACCCAUGAACACCCCUAACCAUAGGUGAGGCGGUGAAGGUCAGGCGCGCUCAUGUGUCCGCCACGUGAGGUCUCCCUUAACCUCCUUUCGACCUCUUAUGGCAGUUUGAGGCCAACUUAAGCACAAGUUUGUCUCUUUUAAGGCCCACUCAAAAUUAUCUCAAUCCACAAUUCCUCAAGCACGAGGUUUGGAAAAGGCAAAUUUAUUUAAACAAGGGAGACAAUAAUCCCUUUUCAAACGAGAUUUGAAAAGGCGGGUGUUAGAGACCAAUUAGUACUACUUUUUAUAUAAUUUUAUUGGUCCCUUUUACCAAUUUUUGAUGUAAUUACACACUUUUAUUCUCACAAUUUUGUAUAAAUGCAAUUAGGUUUAAUUGAUGUUGUUUUGAGUGGUUAUUUUAAUUACACACUUUUAUUCUCACAAUUUUGUAUAAAUGCAAUUAGGUUUAAUUGAUGUUGUUUUGAGUGGUUAUUUCACGUAUUUGUUAGUUUUGUAGAAUUUUUGGACAAGAGAGCUUCGGAAUGCACAAUCAUAAUUUGGAAGAAGUGUUGAAUGCAAUUUGGAGGCCUAUUUUUGAAGAUUAACACUUGGAAGAAUAAUUGCAUGAAGCUUGCAAGGCAAGGAAGCUGAAGUAGCUUCAGUUCGCGCCGCGAUCUCCCUUUGCGCCGCGAACCUUGCGAAUCCAGCAAGCUGUUUUGGCCAAGUGUUCUGUUUUCAAUGUCAGCUGCGUAUGACAUUUAUGUAUCUGUUUUAGGGGGCUUUUUAGUUUUAGAUGUAAAUGAGCAUUUUAGGAAAGGUCAACCCUUUUAGAAAACAGAAUGGAAAAUGUUCAUUCAUUGAUUCGUAGUUUGAUAUUUUGUAAGAGAAAAACAGAGUUCUUAUCAUUGCCUUUUGCUUUCCAAAAUGAUGAUGAGGAGCUAAACCCCAUUUUGUCAAGAUUGGAGGUAGUAGCUAUUCUUAUUUGUUUAUGUAUUUCAAUUGACUCUUAUAUAUGAUAAAAGAUUGUUGAUGUAUUGAAUGAUAUUUUUGCCCAAUUGAAUAUUAGAUUUGAGUAGUUGUUGAAAGAGAUUAUUUAAGUCUUGACAUAAAAAAUAUAUUUCAAGUAGUGAAUAAGUUGUAGAAAUAGAUUAUUCACUACUCUUCUUGUAUCACAUUAAAGAUUGCUAUAUUGAUAGUUAGGUGGAGAAAUCGUCUAAAGAUUAAUAUAGUGAUUAUCACAAUAUCAUUUAGACAUAAAUGAUAUUGAGAGGAUACUUGAACAUCAUCAAUAAUAUUAAAUCUAUUUAGUUGUCAUAAGGAAUCAUAAGCAAUUUGAAUAGUGAACUCCAAUCUUGCCAAGCCUUUUACAUUUGAUUAAAACUAUUUUAUUGUUUUAAUGACAUUUUACUCAAAAGAUAACUUUUCAAACAAAAUAACUUGGUUACAUUCUAAACUUAUAACAAUUUGGAUUAUAGAACGGCGGUAAUAACAACCAAUCUUUGUGGAUACGAUAUUAAAAUAUUUGCCGAAAAUAUACUUUUCAACAAAUUGGCGUCGUUGUCGGGGAUUGGUGUUCGAUAUUACAAGCAUUGCAAUAAUUCAUUGUUUUAAGUUUUUUACUUACUAUCACUCUUGUGUUUCACUUGGUUUGUUAGUUUUGUAGAUUCUAGUGCAUGCGAGGAAAAGCUACCGAGGAGCAAUUUCAAUUCGACCCCGAAAUUGAAAGAACACUUCGAAAGCUCAAUAGCAAAACACGAAGAAGAAGGAAACUAGCCGAAGAGAGGAACCGGAGAGANNNNNNNNNNNNNNNNNNNNNNNNNNNNNNNNNNNNNNNNNNNNNNNNNNNNNNNNNNNNNNNNNNNNNNNNNNNNNNNNNNNNNNNNNNNNNNNNNNNNNNNNNNNNNNNNNNNNNNNNNNNNNNNNNNNNNNNNNNNNNNNNNNNNNNNNNNNNNNNNNNNNNNNNNNNNNNNNNNNNNNNNNNNNNNNNNNNNNNNNNNNNNNNNNNNNNNNNNNNNNNNNNNNNNNNNNNNNNNNNNNNNNNNNNNNNNNNNNNNNNNNNNNNNNNNNNNNNNNNNNNNNNNNNNNNNNNNNNNNNNNNNNNNNNNNNNNNNNNNNNNNNNNNNNNNNNNNNNNNNNNNNNNNNNNNNNNNNNNNNNNNNNNNNNNNNNNNNNNNNNNNNNNNNNNNNNNNNNNNNNNNNNNNNNNNNNNNNNNNNNNNNNNNNNNNNNNNNNNNNNNNNNNNNNNNNNNNNNNNNNNNNNNNNNNNNNNNNNNNNNNNNNNNNNNNNNNNNNNNNNNNNNNNNNNNNNNNNNNNNNNNNNNNNNNNNNNNNNNNNNNNNNNNNNNNNNNNNNNNNNNNNNNNNNNNNNNNNNNNNNNNNNNNNNNNNNNNNNNNNNNNNNNNNNNNNNNNNNNNNNNNNNNNNNNNNNNNNNNNNNNNNNNNNNNNNNNNNNNNNNNNNNNNNNNNNNNNNNNNNNNNNNNNNNNNNNNNNNNNNNNNNNNNNNNNNNNNNNNNNNNNNNNNNNNNNNNNNNNNNNNNNNNNNNNNNNNNNNNNNNNNNNNNNNNNNNNNNNNNNNNNNNNNNNNNNNNNNNNNNNNNNNNNNNNNNNNNNNNNNNNNNNNNNNNNNNNNNNNNNNNNNNNNNNNNNNNNNNNNNNNNNNNNNNNNNNNNNNNNNNNNNNNNNNNNNNNNNNNNNNNNNNNNNNNNNNNNNNNNNNNNNNNNNNNNNNNNNNNNNNNNNNNNNNNNNNNNNNNNNNNNNNNNNNNNNNNNNNNNNNNNNNNNNNNNNNNNNNNNNNNNNNNNNNNNNNNNNNNNNNNNNNNNNNNNNNNNNNNNNNNNNNNNNNNNNNNCAUGGUUUUGAUGAGCUCACUCAAAUCCAUAUUUUUCUAAAUGGGCUCCAAUCAACUCACAAGACACUUUUGGAUGCUACCGCGGGUGGCUCUCUUAUGUCAAAGAAUGCGGAAGAAGCUAAAGUCAUUAUUGACCGGAUGGCACUCAAUGAUCGUCAAAGUCAACAUGACUGUAGUCCUUCACAACGUAAACCGGGAGUUCUUGAGUUAAAUACCAAUGAUGUCAUUCUUGCUCAAAACAAGCUACUUUCUCAAUAAGUGGAGUUGCUUACUCAACAAAUGGCCAAGCUUCCACAACAAAUGAAGGAAAUUCAAGGGUCUCAAGUUCGACAUCAAGUAGCAUGUUGCGAAUUAUGUCAAGGAGAUCAUCCAACCGGUUUUUGCCCUCCACUAGAAGAAGUGAGUUAUGUGAACAAUCAAAAUCAAGGCUAUCAAAGACAACCUCCCAAUAACUCAUAUCCAAGAAACAAUCAAGGUUAUCAACCAUUAAGGUUCAAUGACCAAAAUUUUCAGCAACAAAGUCCUUAUCAACACCCAAACUCUCAAGGACAACAAUCGCAAGGAGGAAAUUCAAAGCUAGAAGACACUCUUCAACAAUUCAUGCAAGCCUCCAUGGCAAAUCAGAAGAGCAACGGGGCAGCAAUUAAGAAUUUGGAAAAUCAAGUGGGCCAACUUGCGAAGCAAUUGUCGGAACAAAACGCGGGAUCCUCUUUUUCCGCUAACACUCAAACUAAUCCAAAGGAGCAUUGUAAAGCAAUUGUCACGAGAAGCGGUAAAGCGUUGACAAGUGGAAAAAGUGAGGAAAUUACAGUAGAGAAUGAUAUGGAUGUUGUACUGGAAAAUGAGGAUGUGGUUUGUGGAAAGGAAAAGGUGGCAGGAACUCUUCAGUUCACGCUGCGAUCUCCCUUCGCGCCGCGAAAAGAGCAGGAUCAGCAAAUGAUAACAGAACAGCAGGACGAGGUAGAAAGAAAGAAGGAAGCAGAGCCAAGAAAGAAGAAGAAAGGAGAAAAAGGUGUGAGCGUCAUUCCAACCCAACAUCUACCCUAUCCACAUGCACCAUCAAAGAAGGACAAUGCUAGACAUUAUGCACGGUUCAUGGACAUAUUCAAACAACUUCAACUCAAUAUUCCAUUUGCCGAUGCAUUAGAGCAAAUGCCACGGUAUGCAAAGUUCAUGAAGGAUAUUCUCACAAAGAAAAGGAGACAUGUGGAAGACGAAACCAUCUUGCUUGAUGCACGUUGUAGUUCCAUCAUCCAAAAAACUCUUCCAAGGAAGGAAUCCGAUCCGGGCCGAGUCGUUUUACCGGUAACCAUUGGAGGCACCUACAUUGGUAAUGGUUUGGUUGACUUGGGAUCUAGCAUCAAUUUAAUCCCCCUAUCCAUUGUUAAAAGAUUGGGAAAUAUUGAGAUCAAAUCUACAAGGAUGACUUUACAACUAGCCGACAAAUCUACCACUUCACCAUAUGGAGUUGCUCAAGACAUGCUAGUGAAGGUGGAUAAAUUCUUGUUUCCGGUAGAUUUCGUGAUAGUAGAGAUGGAUGAGGAUCGUGAUGUUCCUCUAAUUCUUGGAAGGCCAUUCAUGAAAAUAGCCCGGAUGAUGAUUGACAUUGAUGAUGGACUGAUGAAAUUGAGAGUGCAAGAUGAAGAGGUGACCUUCAAUCUUUUUGAAGCCAUGAAGCAUCCUAAUGACAAGCAUGAUUCUUUCCGAAUCGAUGCAAACGAAGAAGAAAUAGUGGAGGUCGCAAACCAAGUUCAUAUCUCUAACCCGUUAGAAAGAUCUCUUAUUGGAACCUAUAAUGUUUUGACCGAAAAUGAAGAAAAAGAGAUUGAAGCAAUGUUGCAUGAAUUAGAGUCUUGUGGGGAGCUUGUUUAUCAUGAAGAAACAAACGAAGACUUGGAUGCGACAAAGAAAAUGGAGGAACCAAAAUUGGAGUUGAAAAUGCUACCUUCACACUUGAAGUAUGUGUUCCUUGGUGAUGAGUAUACUAAACCGGUGAUCAUUAGCAACACCUUGUCCACAAAAGAGGAAUACAAAUUGAUACAAGUGCUGAAAAAGAAUGAGGGUGCAAUAGGGUGGGUGUUAUCCGACUUGAAGGGUAUUAGUCCGGCUUAUUGUAUGCAUAAGAUCAUGAUGGAAGAAAAUUUCAAACCCGUUGCACAACCUCAAAGGCGUCUAAAUCCAUCAAUGAAAGAAGUAGUUCGGAAAGAAGUUGUCAAACUCUUGGAAGCCGGAAUGAUUGAAGCCGGAAUGAUUUAUCCUAUCUCCGAUAGUGCAUGGGUGAGUCCGGUGCAAGUAGUUCCCAAAAAAGGUGGCAUGACGGUUAUCAAAAAUGAUAAAAAUGAGUUGAUUCCAACAAGAACGGUAACCGGGGUGGAGGAUGUGUAUUGACUAUAGAAGGCUAAACCAAGCUACAAGGAAAGAUCACUUCCCACUAUCUUUCAUGGACCAAAUGUUGGAAAGGUUAGCCGGCAAUAAUUUCUAUUGUUUCUUGGACGGGUAUUCGGGGUACAACCAAAUUUCGGUCAAUCCGGCGGAUCAUGAGAAAACGGCUUUUACAUGUCCUUUUGGCAUCUUUGCUUACCGAAGAAUGCCUUUUAGGUUAUGUAAUGCACCGACAACAUUUCAAUGGUGUAUGCAAGCGAUAUUCUCGGAUUUAAUAGAAGAAUGCGUUGAGGUGUUCAUGGAUGAUUUUUCCGUUUAUGGAUCGUCUUUUGAUUUGUGCUUAAAACAUCUUGAUGUGGUUUUGGGAAGAUAUGUGGAGACCAACUUAGUGCUCAAUUGGGAAAAAUGCAACUUUAUGGUCACCGAAUGUGUUGUACUCGGUCACAAGAUCUCCUCCGAAGGAUUAGAAGUUGACAAAGCAAAGGUGGAAGUCAUCGAGAAAUUACCACCUCCAACAAAUAUAAAAGGAAUAAGGAGCUUUCUCGGACAUGCCGGUUUCUACCGGAGAUUCAUCAAAGAUUUUUCAAAGAUAGCAAAGCCAUUGAGCAAUUUGCUCAACAAAGGUACGCAUUUCCUUUUCGAUGAGUCGUGUCUAAAAGCUUUCCUUGAUUUGAAAGAAAAGUUAGUCACUGCACCCAUAAUCAUUGCACCAAAUUGGGCACUUGAUUUUGAACUUAUGUGUGAUGCAAGCGAUUAUGCGGUUGGUGCGGUGUUGGGUCAAAGAAGAGAUAAACAAAUUCAUGCUAUCCAUUAUGCUAGUAAAGUGUUAAAUGAGGCGCAAGUCAAUUAUGCGACAACUGAAAAAGAAUUACUAGCUAUAGUGUACGCAUUGGAAAAGUUUAGAGCUUACUUGAUAGUGUCUAAAGUUGUAGUCUACACCGACCAUUCGGCGAUCAAAUAUUUGUUAACCAAGCCGGAUUCCAAACAAAGAUUAAUUCGUUGGAUUCUCUUAUUGCAAGAGUUUGACAUGGAAAUCCGGGAUAAAAAAGGUCCCGAAAACUUGGUGGCGGAUCAUUUGUCUCGUUUGGUUAAUGUGGACACUACAAACAAAGAAGAGGAAGUAAGAGAAGAAUUUCCGGAUGAAAAAUUGUAUGCGAUUCAAGUGAGGCCUUGGUUUUCCGAUUUUGCUAAUUACAAGGCAACCGGUUUAACACCGGAAGACCUCACUAGUAAUCAAAGAAGGAAAUUCUUGGCGGAUGCAAAAUAUUAUGUGUGGGAUGAUCCUUAUUUGUUUAAAGUGGGUGUUAAGACAAUAUUUGAGAAGGUGUGCUAAACAAUUGAGGAGUCAAAGACAUCCUUUUGCUAUUGUCACAACUCUCCGUAUGGAGGUCACUAUAUCGGUUUGAAACAACAUAAAGGUGCUCCAAUCGGGCUUUUAUUGGCCAUCUUUAUUGGAAAGAUGCAAUGAACACGCGAGGUUGUGAUACAUGCCAACGGAUGGAGGAAUAGGCAAACGGGAUGAAAUGCCUCUAACCAACAUGCUAGAAGUAGAAGUUUUUGAUUGUUGGGGUAUUGAUUUCGUUGGCCCAUUCCCCUCUUCUUUCUCAAAUGAGUAUAUCCUAGUGGCCAUUGACUACAUUUCUAAGUGGGUGGAAACAAUUGCUUCACCUAAGGCCGAUGCCAAAAUAGUGAUCAAAUUUUUAAAGAAAAACAUAUUCUCACGUUUUGGUGUGCCUAGGGUGUUAAUAAGUGAUGGAGGAUCACACUUUUGCAACACACCUUUAGAAAAAGUUUUGCAAUAUUAUGGUGUAAAGCACAAGGUGACCACUCCCUACCAUCCACAAGCGAAUGGUCAGACGGAGGUUUCUAACCGGGAAGUCAAGCGGAUUCUUGAAAAAACAGUCUUGAGUUCAAGGAAAGAUUGGUCAUUAAAACUGGAUGAAGCUUUAUGGGCGUAUCGUACCGCAUACAAAGCACCUAUUGGACUAACUCCAUUCCAAAUGGUGUAUGGGAAGACUUGUCAUCUUCCGGUGGAAAUGGAGCAUAGAGCAUUAUGGGCUCUCAAAUUCUUGAACUUUGACUCCACUUUAGCUGGAGAAAGAAGAAAAGGACAGCUCCAUGAAUUGGNUGGGCUCUCAAAUUCUUGAACUUUGACUCCACUUUAGCUGGAGAAAGAAGAAAAGGACAGCUCCAUGAAUUGGAGGAAUCAAGGAACAACGCUUACCAUUCGAAUAAACUUUACAAGGAAAAGGUAAAAGCAUAUCAUGAUGGAAAGGUUCGUCAUAAAGAGUUUCAAGUUGGACAAAUGGUACUGCUUUUCAACUCAAGGUUGAAGUUGUUCCUUGGUAAACUGAAGUCAAAGUGGUCAGGACCGUUUGUUGUCAAAGAGGUGCGCAACUAUGGGGCCAUUGUGGUCGAGGAUCCAAAGUCACAGGAGAGCUAGACUGUAAAUGGACAAAGACUCAAAGUCUACCAUAGUGGCGAAGUGAAUCGGGAUGUUUGUGUCAUCUCCCUAACCGGACCGAGCUAAUCAUUGAACCGUCGAGCUCAAAACGACGUUAAACAAAGCGCUUGUUGGGAGGCAACCCAACGUUGUAAGUCUGCAUUCUAUAUUUUGUCAAUUCUGAUUGUUAUGAUAUUCUGUUGUGUUAAUUUUUAAGAAACUUGAGUUCUGUCCACUGCAAUUAGAAUUUUUCAAAAAUUCCUUCAGUUCGCCCCGCGAUCAGCUUUCGCCUCGCGAACUGAAUGGAAAGUUUCAGUUCGCGCCACGAACAAAGUUCACCCAGCGAACUGAGCAUGGCAGAACCACUUAAGUUCUGUUUAGGUUAUUUUUUAGUUUACUCUUAUUUUCACAAACUGAAUUUGUUCUUCAACAACCCCACUACCCCAAGUUCAAAACUCAAAAUUUUCCUCUCCAUCUCCCAAAUCCCAACUUGUCAGCAAAGAACCAAGUCAAUUUCAACAAGGUAUGUUUGUUCUCUUCCCACUCCUUUUUGGUUUCUCACUUAGGUAAGAAUAUGGUUUUGCAAAGAUUGGAAUUUGAUAUUAGAGAUAACCUUGCAUGUCUAAAGUGGAUUCAUAUUAGGAGUAGGUUAGGGAUUGUGAUUAUGACUGUUGGUGGUGCAAACCUUAGGAACCCUAGAAGGCACCUGGAAUUUUCCUGGUUCGCAGGGUUCGCGCCGCGAACUAGGAAAUUCCAGUCUCAUGUUUUAUACUUUUGAUUGCUAACUCCCCUUAUGGUUUGUUGUGUGGUUGUUCUGAUUUUUAUUGCAGAUGUCUAAAAGAACAAAAACCAUGUAUUCCGGUCCUUCUCUUUCAUUGAGACGUUUCACAAGUGAUGAACAUGAAGAAAGAUUUGACAAAUUAAUUAAGCGAACCAUCCAACCCGAGAGAUUCAUCCGCUUGUCGCCGGGUGGAACUUAUCGGAAUUUGGUAUCGAAUUUUGAGAGGAGAAGAUGGAGCAAGUUUUGUGAACCAGAGUCGGCAAUAAAUUACGAUAUUGUGCGAGAGUUUUAUGCCAAUGCUCUGCAUCUUGAAGAGGGAGUAACUUUUCAUUAUCAAACAAGAGUGAGAGGCAAGAUUAUUUCUUUCAAUAGAGAUGCAAUUAACACGUAUCUAUGUAAUCCUCUCACCUUGGGGGAGAAUGAGCGGUGCGAGUAUCGUGCCAAGGAAUUGGCCAACGAUUGGGACCUUCCAAUGAUGAGCGCUACCUUAUGCCUUGAAGGAAGGACAUAUGACUUAAAUGAUCAAGGAUUCCCAAAGUCAUGGAAGAGAGAAAGUUUGAAUCUGGAGGCAAGAGCAUUUUUGGUGCUGAUGUUGAACAAUAUCCGGCCAAGGAACCACAACACCACUAUCCCUUUGGAUGUAGGGUGUUUGUUGUAUUACAUCAUGAUUGGAAAAUCUGUUGAUGUAGUAUCCAUUAUUGCGGGGGAAAUGCGCAAAGUGGCUACGAGCGGAACGAAGUUUGGUGGUAAAGCAUGUGUUCUUGCAUAUCCGGGGCUGAUUAUGGGACUUUGCCGAAGGGCGCAUGUUCCCAUUCCGGAUGAGGUACAUUUGUCUAUUACUAGUGUUAUUAAUGAUGCUUAUCUGAAUAGGUUCUUCCAGAGCCAAAUGGACAGAGCCGAAGGAGCUGGGACUUCGUCCUCUAGACCCCGAGCCCGCACUACUCCAGCAUUCGAUCAGAUGGCGUUUGCUAAUUAUUGUUGUGAGAGCUUUGAGGCCUCUAGGAGGUUAGAGCCGAAGGAGCUGGGACUUCGUCCUCUAGACCCCGAGCCCGCACUACUCCAGCAUUCGAUCAGAUGGCGUUUGCUAAUUAUUGUUGUGAGAGCUUUGAGGCCUCUAGGAGGUCUCAAUCAUUCACCUUUGAUGCUAUACAACAACAAUUUCAUAACACUUUCCUUGCACCUGAAGCCCGCACAUUUCCUUCCCAGGUGGAAUAUGUUGCUUAUGCUAAUUGGCCUGAGGGCAAGCCAGCUUUUAUGGGGGGUGCAUGAGGUGGUGCGACCCAUGACGAUGAGAUGGAGGACGUCCUUGGAUCCUUAGGUGGUGGCCAAGAGGAGGAAGAUUGAGGAGUUUGUUGAAUUGUAGAGUUUGUUUUUAUUUUGAGUUUCAUUUGUAUUAUUAUUGCUUUUGUUGAAUUUUUAUUGUACUUUUAGGUGGCUCUAGUUCACCAAAAUUUUGGUUUGUUAAUUUGUCUUGUUAAUUGCAUGAAUACUCUGUGAGAUUUAAGUGUGUUACAAUGAAUUUGGUUUACCAACAUUUUUUUGUUUAAUUGUUCUUACUCUUAAGUCAAGCUUAAAGCAACCAAGAAAUAUUCGCAAAGAAAGAAGCAUGGGACACUUCGAGUGGUGAUGAUAAGAAUUAGUGUCGGCAUUUCAAGGUACACUUUAUCGCUUUCUAGACUUAACAUGAGUAGUUUGAUGGUGUGUGCAAAUUCCAUAUCAUAAAUUCAUUGAAAUACAUGUCAUUUUUGACUCAAAAUAGCGAACUUAACACAAUUGUGAGGAGACUUUCCAUGACUAAAAUGCUGGGAACAGCCUGGAAAUAUUUCAACUCAUUCUUAUCCAUGCUAAAUCAUGCAUCAAUCUAUUUUUUGUGAAAUAUUUGGAAAAGAUAGAGACAUUUGGUUUGUUCUUUCAGAAAACACUUGACCAAAAAGUUUUGAAUCAACACUUGUUGAGGAGUAAUCCUUAGUUAACCCCCUUUGAGCUACUUUAGGAUAUUCUGAUAAAGUGUAAAAUCAUGAAAAUUUUGUGAAUAAAUGAAUCUAAUUUAUUUCGUGUCAAUUGAACCUCAAAGCCGAGUUGUUUGCAAAUUUUGUCUUUUUGCUUAUGUCUAAGUAGGGAGCAUUAUGAAUAAAUUUGGUUUUGAAUCUAAAGUUGGGGAGAGUAAAGUAAAGAGUUGAUUUGAAACUUGGGAGAAGUGAGUUUAUGAAAGAGUGAAAAUAUGAAAAAACAAGUAGAAAGUCACCCUUGAAAGAAUCAUAGAGCAAAGCAAACAGAAAAGAAGAAAAAACAAGAAAGGCCAUGGUUAUGUGGAUGUAAAAGAAAAGAAAGAAAAAGACGGGGAUCAAAGAAAUGGAAAUUGUGUAGAGUUGAAUGUAUGAGAAUGCUCUUAAGAUAGGCAAUUUUGUUGAUUCUCUAAUCAUAUCCUUUCUUGUAACCAAGCCACAUUACACCUGAAGACCUCUUGAUUCUCAUUUUUUCACAUGAUUCGGUAUUUGUUUUUGAUGACCACAUGAUUUGAGUUGUUGUUGAUUUUAUUGUUGGAUGUUGAAAGUAAACCUUCAUGUUUAUUCAUAUUAUUAUGAUGUGUGUGUAAGUUUGAUUCAAUUUUGACAUAUAAUGGCUUUGAAUUCCUUGGUAUGAUUUUGGCACCCAACCAUUGCUCUUAUUCAUGUUUUGUCUAGCAUUGAGAAUAGUGGAUGAGAAAGUGCCAACACUUUUGAAGCCAUUUGAAUAUCCUUGUUAAUCCUUGUUUCAAUCUUUUGGUCAUUGCUUUGGUUGUGUUGGUGGAAACUUUUGUUUAGGGACAAAACAAAUGCUAAGUUGGGGAGAGUGUUAGGACAAUUAGUACUACUUUUUAUAUAAUUUUAUUGGUCCUCUUUUACCAAUUUUUUGAUGUAAUUACACACUUUUAUUCUCACAAAUUUUUUAUAAAUGAAAUUAGGUUAAUUGAUGUUGUUUUGAGUGGUUAUUUCACGUAUUUGUUAGUUUGUAGAAUUUUUGGACAAGAGCUUCGGAAUGCACAAUCAUAAUUUGGAAGAAGUGUUGAAUGAAAUUUGGGCCUAUUUUUGAAGAUUAACCUUGGAAGAAUAACUGCAUGAAGCUUGCAAGGCAAGGAAGUGAAGUAGCUUCAGUUCGCCGCCGCGAUCUCCCUUCGCGCCGCGACCUUGCGAAUCCAGCAAGCUGUUUUGGCCAAGUGUUCUGUUUUCAAUGCCAGCUGUGUAUGACAUUUCUGUAUCUGUUUUAGGGGAUUUUUAGUUUUUAGAUGUAAUGAGCAUUUUAGGAAGGUCACCCUUUUAGAAACAGAAUGGAAAUGUUCAUUCAUUGAGUCAUAGUUUGUUAUUUUAUAAGAGAAAACAGAGUUCUUAUCAUUGCCUUUUGCUUCCAAAAUGAUUGAUGAGGAGCUAACCCCAUUUUGUCAAGAUUGGAGGUAGUAGCUUCUUAUUUGUUUAUGUAUUUCAAUUGACUCUUAUAUAUGAUAAAAGAUUGUUGAUGUAUUGAAUGAUAUUUUGCCCUAAGUUGAAUAUUAGAUUUGAGCAGUGUUGAAGAGAUUAUUUAAGUCUUGACAUAAAAUAUAUUCUUAAGUAGUGAAUAAGUUGUAGAAAUAGAUUUAUUCACUACUCUUCUUUUGUAUCAACCAUUAAAGUUGCUAUAUUGAUAGUUAGGUGGAGAAAUCGUCUAAAGAUUAAUAUAGUGAUUAUCACAAUAUCAUUUAGACAUAAAUGAUAUUGAGAGGAUACUUGAAACAUCAUCAAUAAUUCUUAAAUCUAUAUAGUUGUCAUAAGGAAUCAUAAGUAAUUUGAAUAGUGAAUCCAAUUUUGCCAAGCCUUUUACAUUUGAUUAAAACUAUUUUAUUGUUUUAGUGACAUUUUACUCAAAAGAUAACUUUCACAAAAACAACUUGGUUACAUUCUAAACUUAUAACAAUUUGGAUUAUAGAACGGCGGUAAUAACAACCAAUCUCUGUGGAUACGAUAUUAAAAUAUUUGCCGAAAAUAUACUUUUCAACAGCGGGUCCCUCAGUCGAAACUUGGAGAGACAAGUCCCUCAUGCGAGGCUUGGAGAGGCAAGUCCCUCAUGCAAGGCUUGGAGAGGCGAGUCCUUUCAAAGAGACUUCGAAAGUCGAGUCUCUAUGGCGGGACUGAGAGAGGAAAGUCCCUCAAAUGUGAGACGUUUGGAUCCCAGAGGCAUGUGAAUCAUUUAAUGCUUUGUAAUGAUGAUGUUGCCUUGGGAAAGCUCAAAUAAUAUUAACAAUUGAUUAAUUUACAUGCGCAAAAUUUGGGUCAUGGAUGCUUUGUCACCCACUAGUAAGAGUAGACCUAUUGUUUGGUAAUAAUGGCAUACUCGACCUAGGUAUAUUGCCUUAUAAAUAGACGAAUCUCAAUCUUUUAUUUUACUUUCUUCUCCACUCAUAUUUCGCACUUCUCUAAAGAGUUUUCUUCUCUGUGUUCCUCCUUAUCAUCAUCAUCAACCUACAUACUCAAGUAUUGAAUUACCUCAUUUCAUUUAUCUUCUCCUUUUCAUGUGAAUGGAAAUUAUUAUGAAGCUAGAUGAUAAUAACAACAUCAUAUAACCUAACACACAUGAAGUAAAUUUGAAGAUGUCGAGGCAUUGUGUAGAUAAUAUGAGACGACCAGAUGGGACAAUUGAUUAUAACCUUAUAGAGUUAGGUAUUAUUGACAGUUACGAUAACAUUUUUUAUUCUAGUAGUGAUAAUGAUCCUAUUUAUCCCUAUUCUUUCCUAGGACAAACAUAACUACUAAUGGCGGAUUGUUCUUGAAAACGUUCGAGUGUCGAGAAUUUAAAACUCUCUAUAAGAUUGAUGGCAUGAUGAUUUUCUUUCGUAAGGAUACAAAUCUUGUUGAUCCAUGUGCUUUCAGGUACAACUGUUUGCAAUCAUAAAAUGUUCAAUAUGGUUUUGAUAAUGACAACUCUAUUAUGUGAAUUCUUCAUCAGAAGUGAUGAUCAAAGAUGUUCUAUCAAGAUCAAGUUGUGUUUUUGUGAGAUCAAUAUAUUAUAAUCAAUCAAGUCAACACUUAAUGUCAAGGGGUGCUCGAUGGAGUCAGUGAUGAUCUCUGGACAAGAAAUAUUUGAUGAUGUUGUUUGUCAAGAAGGUUUGUCAAGCAUCAUCAAGUUAGAAGAAGUCAAAUCCCAAUUGAUUCGUUGAAUAAAUGAUAGAUCAAGCAAGAGAUAUUGAAACUUCAAAGAAUAUGAAAGAGAGAGAGUGUGAAAGCAGGGUUGUAGUUGAUUCCUCCUUGUGUACCAAUGAGAGACACAUUAGAGAAUUCACCAUAACUAUCAAUAAUGUCCACACUACUCAAUGCAGAAUCAUACCAAACAAUAUCAUUAUUAGUGAUAGACUUGAGUCUUUGAGACCACCGUAGACAUUGAAUGUUCUCCGGAAAAGCGGGCGUCUGAGGCAAGUGUGAAAUAAACCACUUGUACAGAAGAGGAACACAACACACAAUAGUCCCACCACCUUUAGAAUUCUUUAAAUGCAAAGAGAAGUACAUGUCACCCAACAGAGUAGGUACAGGGUUCCCAAUCAAGAAGAUUCUAAUAGAGUUAGCAUCAACAAAAUCGUCAAUGUUAGGGAACAAAGUUAAACCAUAGAUGAGAAAAACAAACAUGGCUUCAAAAUCAUCCACACUACCGGCUUGAGAAAAGAUAGUAGCUUUCCCUAUGAGAAACUCAGAAGUCAACCCAAACAUUCCUCCUUUCUUCACCCAAUGAGCCUUAAUCUCAAACUUCUUCAGAUGAAGAGUUUCAACUAUGAUAUGAGAUAUGGGAAUCUCCUCUAAUCCACUAAAAGGUACCUUGUCAAAAAUAAGUAUUCCCAAGAGAAGGACACACUCCUAUAACAUAGGCAUAAGUUGAUAAUCGGGAAAAGUGAAGCAAUAGUAGAGAGGGUCAUAAAACUGAACCAACACACUCAAGAGUCCUUCAACCACAGUAGUAGAUAACACAGGUAGAAGCUUCCCAUGACGUUUCUUGAAAUCCAAUGGAUCUAAUACAAAGGAUGACAACUUCCUUAGCUCUUUCAAAUCAGGACAUCUGAAAUUGUACUUCUUAGUGUUCCUUCGUCCACAGUCCAUGGUCUAAAAAUAUUUGCAAAUAAGACCUUGGUUCCUUGAAGUUAUUUUUUUGUGUGUGAUGAAUGUCAUGAUGUGCAUGAAUGCAUGAAUGUAACAAUCAAAAACAACGGAUCACACACAAGGCAAACACAAACAAAGGUCAAGGGAUGAAUCAAGUCAUUGUCAAGAUUAAUCAUCCAUUUUGGUGGAUUAUAGUUUUCACCUUAUCAACACCCAAGUUCCAUUGAUAUUAACAAGACUUAAUUGGAUCAACCAAGAAUCAAAGGGUUUGUUGUGAGUCACUAGCAUGGAGUCAGGUUAAGAACCACCCCAAAGUAGUGUACUAAGGAUAAAAACCUGUAGAUCAUGUUCUAAAAAGUUCCCAGAGUCUUAAUUCCAUCUAUCAGAUAUUAUAGGUUAGGGUGACUGACUCAUCAACCCAUAAUAUUUUCAAGAGAAACUCGUCUGAGUGUAGUAUCGCGUAACAACUGCUAUAAAGACUACACCUAAAUAGUCUUUGCAAUACGUCCUAAAUAGGACAAAUUGGGUUAAAUGUUCUACGGUCCUCAGCUUCUCGGACCCCAAAUUAGAGAAAGUAAUGUCUAACCACAAAUAACUUGUGUGACAUUAGUAACUCCAAAAGGGUCUCCACUGAGUAGAUGGAUUUCAAGCCAAUUUGUUAAGGACUAAUCCACACAAGUAGAACAUGACUAUACCAUCUUCCUAUCUUAAUUGCACUCAAGUUCGGGAUAGAACUUAUCUCACCACUCAGAGAUCAUCGGGCAUAACAAGCAGAUUAUAUCACACAAAGAAGUAUAUAAACAUCAAAUAUACAAAUAUAUACACAUAAAAAAGUAGGCUAAACCCACUGAGGACUACUCCCCAGCAAAGUCGCCACUUAAUUUCUGUAGCGGUAAAUUCAUGACCAUCAAACUAUGGAUAAGCUUAACAUCAACAAAACAAGAGUCGUCGUCGCGCUUUUACUGUUUCCAAAGGAAAAGGAAAAAGUACGAACAAACCCCAAAGAGAAUAAGUUUUCAAAUCAAAACUAAUAAAAUGCCAGAGAUUACAGGUAAUGGGGUUGGUUACACAGAGGGAAGGUGUUAGCAUCCACAUUGUCCUAUGUACUCCUAGGGAGCCCUUUUUUAUGUGUGUAUGUGUUUUUGGUAUAAAAGAUGUUUGAAACAAAUAGAGUGUGUAGAUGAGAAGAAGAAUUCAUUAAUUAUACUUUUGUGUUUGACAAGACCUUCGGACUUGUGCCUACGUAUCAACAUAAAAUGAGGGAUCAAAACCUCGUAGUUCAUGGUAUCAAUGUCAAAAUGAGUGAGUUGCUUUUAAUCAAAAUUAUAAUUUAAAAGAGGCACAAAGGGCCCAAAAGUUUGCAUGAGUGUUAGUUCUUUUUGUCUUUUGAAAUUUUAAGUCAAUAUGGUUAAGUUCAUUUACAAGUUUGAUUAAGAAAAGAGUUUUAAAAUCUAAUGGCAUAAGGCCAAAGUUUCUAAUUUGCAAUAAAGUCUAAGUUUGAAAUCACAAGAAAAGAAAGUUUUUGAAAAGGGGGAGAGAUUUUGAAAUUUAAGAAUUGGGAGAAGAUGAAGAGACUAAUCCUAAGCAUAAAAUUAAAAGUUAAGAGUUGAAAGAUCUGACAAAUGGGAUGCAAUCCAACAAACAAGAAUGUCAUAUAGAAAACCCACUUUCUCUUUGGACUUUGAAUCAAACAAUAGUCAGUAAGCAAUUAGCAAUAUGAAGAGCAAGGCAUCAAAUAAAGAUGGUCACAUCCAAGCAAGCAAGUCCAUAGCUAACCGUCUUCUUUGUCUUCUCAUGAAUCAGAUGAAAUACUCCUUGAGUUUUUACUCAGAAUAAGGUAUUAGGCAUGAGAUCAAAAUAACAGUUGCAUCAAGACCAUGGAGCAGAUGAACUCAAGUGGAUCCAAAUACUUGCAUCAGAUGAAAACCCAAAUCACAAUAACUUGGUCUCAGAAAUGUUGGCAUUGGCCAAAUCCUUUUGCAUAUGGAAUGUUUCCUAAUUCUAAGUCCAAAAGUUCAUAUCAGACCCAACAGUCCACACAAACAUUUUUCAGGGUUUUUUGCUGUUUAUUAAGUAUUUUAAGGUCCUAAGACCAAAACACAAACAAAAUACACAAACAAAUAUAUACAAUCACAAUAUAUGGCUCAAAUGAGCAAAAUGAAAAUGACAUAAACAUAAACAAGUUAAAUGAUAUGUAAAUGGAAAUGAAUGGUAAAUGACUUGAAAUUAAAUUGCAUAAAGUAAAUGACUUGAAAGAAAAGCAAAUUUAAUAAUAGUUAGUGUUAGUCAUAGCUAAGUAGAUGUUAGCGGAGUUUUUCUUUUUAAUUGAUUAAGUCAUUCUUUGGGGAACACUCAACCAUCUAUUCACAAGCAUGGAUCCUUGAACCAAGACAUCUUCCAAAGGAAAGAAAAAAGGCCAAGUUUCCACACAAUACCAUGAAAGAUGGGAGACUUACAAUCUCACUUACUAGAAUGUUAUGCCUUUAGGGUCAAAUUUAGCUCUAUGUUAAGCAAUCGUAAUUGGACUUAUGUAGAAUUCACAACUAUCUGAGGUCGGGAAAUAAAAAUUUGGAUACUAAUGCAUGUUAGAGAUUUGGUAUAAUGAACCAAACUUCUAAAAUAUACCACACACUAAAAGAAAAAGAUCAAAGGUUGGACCUAUCUCAUCCAUACUUGUAUUGGUUCAUCUAACAUAAGGCUAUUGAUGAACCAAUUAGCCUUAGGAUUUGGAGAUUUCAUUGGUCAAUGAAAGGGAUGGGAAUUAAUGGGAUUGAAGAUGAAGAGGGAAGGGAGAUGAGAGAAACACAAAUUGGCCAUGGGAGGAAUUUUAUCAAAUUAAAAUCAUUCAUUCAUUUUGGGAGAUGGAUUGUACAUUUCAUCAAUCCCCUAAAUCCAAUUAUUUUAACUCAACAAAAGUCAAAUCAACCUUGACCAAGGCCCAAACACAUAGUCAAACAUCACAAGUCAAUGAAAAUGGCUCAACAAAACUUUUACACAAUUAAUCAAUUAAAAAUAUAUUUAAAUUCAAUUUAAUUUGGUCAAAACCUAAAAUCUCUUCAAAACACCAAAUAAAUGGCCAAGAGAUUUAUCCUAGGUCAAACAAGGUCAAAGGACCUUAGACAAGAAAUUUCAUGAUUUUUUAAAAGUCAGAAGUAUUUUUAAAUAAUAAAAAAUAUGCACAAAAACAAUUAAUUCAUAAAAAAUAUCAAAAUUAAUCCAAAAAAUAAUUUUAAUUCAGAAAAUGAAAGAGGAAAAUAUUUAAAGAUUUUUGGUGAAAGUCUCAUAUUUUUUGAAUUAAAAAUGAAAUUAAUAUGAAUUAAACAAAAUAAAGGGAUUAAAUGAAAAAAAUCAGAAAAAAAAUAAAAUAGAAUUAAAAAAAACAAGGCCCAUCAGAUCUUCCUCAUUAAUUGAGGUGGCAGAUGUGAGGGUCACACGCGCGCGUUCCACCAUGCACUCAAGUCAUAUUAAUGUACGCAUGGUAAUGCAAAAUAAAGGUCCAGAUUAUAACAUCCAAACAUGAUCAGAUGGCCAUGAGGUGUGUCAACACACCACCGGAGCUAGGGCUCCGGUCAUCUUCUCCGGUGACCUCCACCAGACUGGUCCAACUUUAUUUUAAUGGAAAAUGACAAACAAGGACGUUAUUUCAACGAGAAAAUGCUCAGGAUCACGAAUCUGACCUCACUUUUCUCCAAUUCCAAGUUAAUAAAGAGAUACAUGGAUUUGAAUUUUGAGGAUCAUGAACUGAGUUGCUUAGAUUUGACCUCAAAACAACUUAAUCUUCUUGCCUAUAUUGGUAGGACUUCAGCCAACCAAAAAUCAUAAAGAAUGGUGAAGAACUGAGGGAGAAUUGAAGAGAUGGAAAUUCUGAAAAAUUACCUUCGGGGGAGCUUCAACAUUGCUUGAUCUUGAUUCUAAUUGUCAUUGACUUUGUUUGAGAAGCUUGUAGGAAGUGAUUAAGAUCAGAAAAUGGCCUGGACUCUUGGAGUUUCAAUCUCAAAACAAAAUGAGAUUUGAAGCUCGACUUUCAAAUGAAAACCUUUAAGAUUAUCCUUUAGUGGUGAGGGUUUGGAAUACAUGUUCAAAGCCUGGGCAUGAGAGGUUGUAUUUAUAGGCCAUGAGAUUCAUUUCCACACACUUCCAAAUUUUGCCUAUUUUAGCAAUUCACCUUGCAUGCUUGCAUGGGCGUGUGAUAGGCCCAUCAAGUGAUGUAUUCAGGUCCAAAAUUGCUUGAGAAUCAUGGGAAGGAGCGUGUUGUCUAUAUUGUCAACGACUUAAUGACUUAUGGAUCUCUUCUUGAUUCAAAAUCGACAGUUUUAUGCAAAGCCGCCUCUUGAACAAUGUUAUUCUUCGGAUUAAAAUUAUGUAAUAUUUCUUCAAUUUGAAUCAAUCUCUCUGUUAUGGUAUGUGAGUGCUACUACUGCACCAUAUGGUAGAUGCUGCUCAGCAGGUCCUUGCCUCCCUACAAACCUUGAUUAGCCUACAAGAGUUUAAAUUCGGGAAUCAUUUAUUAUACAUGCAUCAUUGUAGGGAGCAUUGGAGGCUUGAACGAAGGUCCGCCUUGCUGAAACUGUUGUGUAGAUAUAAGGAAUGAAGGAGGUUGAAACACUUUAUGAUAUGUCAUAGGUUGGACAUGAUCUUGAGGUAAGGGAAUAAGUGGAGUAGUACUUGAUUGCUUGUCCCUUAAGGGGGUGAAUGAUUCAUGGCUACCUUAGCGGCAACAAUAACUUGUCGUUGGACGACGAAGCGAGUAGCUUUGGAAGCCGCCAUUAUUGCAGAUACAAUGGAUGAUUUGAAGGAGGAGAUUUUGAAUAUAACAUAAGUGAUUAGGAAAUGGAGAUCCAAGCUUCGAUUGAAAGAGAUGUGGUUUUCUAAUAGGAGAAGGCUCGAUUAAAUCGAGAGAAGUUUAAUCGUGAAAAAUCGUAGAAAUUAAAAGUUGAUUCCAUAGAUGGCGCCAAUGUUUUGUGUUGGAUCUAGAAUUGAUUGGAGUGUAUGAACCUGAAGUUGAUUGUGGUGGUUUGGGGCUUCUGAUGAAUUGGAGAAGGAGCCAACCUACAAUGUUAGCACAUCAAUGAUCAAAUCAGUAAGAGACUAAAAAUAAAGUUUGAAUGAAAAAUUAUUUGAAUACAUAUGAAGUGGUACAUUUUUAUCUAAAAUAAAAGAAAUGAUUGAUAACUGCAUGCGUGAGAUGCAUUUGAUGAUCAGAUUUACCUAGCCGCUCGCAUUAAAGUUGACCUACUUCUAAAAAAAAAAAAAAAUACAAUUAUUAUAUCGAAUGAUGCCUUAAUCUUUAUUGAGCUUAUGUUUCUUUAGACCUUCUGGACAAUCCAUCACAACUUAUUAAGAAAAGUUAAAUUCAAAAAAGAUGAUCUAUUAGAGUGUUUCGUGUCAAAUAACAAGAAGGGAAUUUGGUGAGUGGAUUCCCCCGGAAAAAGGAUUAAGAAUAGUGCCAAAAGCAGCAAGCCCGUCCAAUGUACCAUAAUAAUUAUUUAUAACGUAACGGGCGCCGAGUGAUUGGCCACAAUGUCAAAAAGCAUUGGCGAAAUAUCACGAUAACGUGUAUCCAAUGUCCCUAACUUCAAAUAUUUUCAUCCACCAUUUAAAAAAGUCUAACUCAUUUCCACUACUUUGCAUUUAAUUAUUAUAAAAAAAAGUCGAUAAUUUUUAACAAUAUUCCCCUCCGACAUUCAAAGUAAACAGACGCCUUCUUUCUUUGUCUUCGCAUGUUUUAUGUCUUGUGGAUAAGCUUCAAUCUUCAUGUGCCGCUCCACCAUUCCUCUCCCUUUCCCACUAUUUCAUUCAACAUUAUUUUAUCUAUUAUCAUGUUUUGCUGUCAUUAAUUAAUGAGCAUGCCUUCAUAACAAAAUCAAAUAAAAAAAAUAUUUUCAUUACUUUAAUUUUAAUUUUCUCCCACGCAAAUUUUAAAAUAAUUCUUCAAACCACCGCGACUUUCAAAUUCCUCGUUCUUCAUGCACCCUAGCACAAUACAAUCCUUGCAGUCCACACGUCUUUUUUCUCCUUUCCCAGCUGUUUCAAAUUUCACAAUCCACAUCUUCUUUCUCUUCUCAUAUAAAUACCCUUCUCUCUUCCCUUAUCCAUUUCAACUCCACAACACAAACACAAAACACAACAAUUACUCUAUUCUCAUUCUUAUCAUUGAAAAAGAAAACACUACAACUACUACUAACAAUUUUACUUAUAUUCAAACAUGGUUGAUUUACACUGGAAAUUAAACAUGCCAAAUUCCGACAUGCCUUCCAAAUCUCCAAAACUUUCUAUCUCCGACAAGUCCUCACCACGCAACAACUCCCUACCGUUGUUGCAACCACCUUCAAUCACAAAUGAUAUCUCCGCGGCGGCACCUCCUCUUUGCGCGGCGUAUGACUACUACCUCCGCCUCCCGGAGGUCCGCAAGCUUUGGGAAUCAAGAGAAUUCCCAAACUGGAGCAAUGAACCAAUCCUAAAACCAGCUUUGCAAGCUCUCGAAAUCACCUUCCGUUUCAUCUCUACGGUUCUCUCCGACCCCAGACCCUAUACGAACCGAACAGAAUGGAACCGUAGACUCGAAUCCAUUGCCACGCAGCAGAUUGAGAUUAUCGCC
rnacentral:lncRNA from 1 species